rnacentral:misc_RNA from 1 species
AACCAUUCUCACCUGCGGCUAGACCUGCGGAGGGAUCAUUAUUGAAUAAAUUUGGUGGGUUGUCGCUGGCUCUUUGGAGCAUGUGCACACCUGCUAACUUUAUCUAUCCACCUGUGCACCUCCGUAGUCUUGGGAGAUGGGAACUGGUUUAGACUCGAAAAGCUCCGUGGGCCUUUCGGAUGUAAGGGAUGCUUUGCGCACGCAUGGCUUUCCUCGCAAGCCAGCUAUCACUCCAAAGAC